ensembl:lncRNA
GACGAUUCUUGGAAGGUUCCGGACCGAGACCAGCGACCGCGGGGCCGUCGGGAGCAGUACAAGCUACUUACAGGUACCACAAGAAAGGCCUUGGCAACCCGAGCAGUAAUGGAUGCCCGACAUUCAUCAUUUUUAAUCGUUAUCAUUACUACAAAUAUUCUCUUUUCUAAUCAGGGAGUGGCAACACAACGAUCACUUGCCCACGAUCAUCAUUUUACUUCUGUGCAUAAAAUAUUAAUUCUCUUUUCUCUUUAGGAGGUGGCAACACAAGCACAAAGGUGGCAACACAAGCAUUAUGGUUGCCAAACACUCAUCUUUUUACUUCUCUGCAUUGAUCUUAAUUCUUUCUCUCUCCAGGAAAUGGCAGUAUAAGAACGAAUGCCAAACACAGACAGUAAUUAUUAUUUUUUUCAGGUUGCUGAGCGCUUCUGUCUAUUCAACAUGCGUUUUGUGUAGCAAGACAGGUAGAGAACCAGGCUGGUUCAAAUAGACACGGGGUUCAACUACUAGAAUAAUAUGUCUAAUUAAUAAAUGGUACACAUGGUUUUAAACGGCGCCCAAGGAGGGAGUUAGCUCAACUGCGGUAGCACAAUUACAAUACGUUUUUUGCGAAUAUUAAAGGUACAUGGGUUAAAUUCUACAAUAAUCAGCUACUACAGACGAAUAGACUGAAUAACACUGCGUGAGGUGUUCAAAGGUCAACUAUUGCUUCCAUUGGAGCGAUUGCAAUAGAUAUAAUAUCAUACCACCAAUAUGCAUGC